GAGCCCUGGCCCUGGUGAGGACUUUCCCAGGGCCCAGGGACUCUGCUCUGCAGUUGCCAACUUCUUCUCUUCAGUACAGAGGGUGGAUGGGGCCUUCCCAAGAGGCCUGAAGGACUGCCCACUCUUGGCAGCAAGUCCAGGUAGUUGCUGGCCUCCGGUCAUCUGCUUCACCUGCUUCACCAGGCCUGGUGCUUGGCUGGGAGGCCCUGGUAUCUGCUCCACCCCUGCAGGUGCUCUUCCUGAGGCCUGAGUUGUUGGCUCAUAUAAAAAAGCCUUGGCAGAAGGCUGAGAGAGAAGUCUGGCCUGGCUCGUGGCAUCUGCCCCAGACCUUUACUGGCAGUCCAUGAGCUUGACUCCAACACUGGCAUCUUCUCAUCAACCUGUGGUGUGACCUCAUGAGGUGAAGCAGCCCGCUCUUUCUGGAAACAGAUUUAGUGGCCUUGAUGUCAGAAAACCUGGCUUUCAAUUCAACUCCUCCAUCUACAUGCUCUAUUGUGACAAGUCAUCUCACCAAACUGGACUCUCAGUUUUCCUCAUCUGCAUCAUGGGAAGGAUUCCAAGCCUUUAUUUCCAGAAUGAGAAUAUGAACCAUACCUCCUUCAAUGCUAUAAAAUGGGAAGACCAUGGGGCUCUGACAAUUCUGGCAGAGAACAAGCAGCACGCUAAAUGGAUUUUGUCACCAACCUGCUGGUCGCUUGGUUAGAUUUAGACAGUCAGCGUGGUAAACUUUUGGGCAGCCUGGCUUCUUACAGGAGACGAGCUGGCCAGCAUCCCCACAGCUGAAACACUCAUCCUCUCUCUCCUUUGUGAUUUCACCCUGGGUCCUGCGCUUCCCCUGUUGCUUCUUCUUGAAUUUCUUUGACUUUUCUUCUGUGGCAAUCGGCUGAUUCUAGAGGUCAGAUAUUGAGCAGUCAGCAUUCUGUCGAUACAUGAGUUGUGUGAUCUUGACCAGGUUAACUAUCCUCUCUGAGCCUCAUCUCUCCUCUGGGAAGAGACAGUCCUCACAGACUGUUCUAAAGAUAAGAGAAAAUGCAGGAAAGGCACCUGGCACAUCAUAGGUACCCAAUAAAUUAAUACUAACUUUUCUAUCAACUACUCUUACCACCUGAAUGAAAUAGAAAUGAACUUCUUUUUGUUAACACAUAAGGCUAGUGUUAAACGUUCUCCUUUCAUUAAGUUUUACUUUUAUGUUUGUCUAUGUGUGUCAUAUCUGUGUAUACACACACAUUUCUUUAUUCAACAAACCUUCACUGAGCACUUAUUAAGAGUCAAAUGUUAGUAAGGCACAAAAAACUCAUGGUCCUUGCCCACAAUAAGCUAUGUGCCCUUCAUCUAUAUCAAAUUAGGUUCAUAUCCACUAGUCCCCAAGACAGAUCCUGGUGUAGCCAGCAGGUCUCCUCUGUGUUCCCUGAAGCCCACACUUGGUUACCAAAUCCCGUGGGUUUCAUCACAUUAUUUAUCUUGGACUGGAGACAUCCACAAUCAGUCUGAUUUAUUACUAUCCCACAGUGAUCUCCCAUUUCUAAACUUCUGCCCUUAAAUUUCUCUGCUUCAUGUGUGAAAUGUUACAUAGAUGUUAAGGAUGCAGAAAGACAUUCCUAGUGACUGUAAUACCAUUAACCUUUGUUAAACUCAGUUAUUAAUUUGAUUUAUAGAGAAAAAAUAAACUGGACACCUUAAGGAACAAGACCAUUUAACUGACUAAAGAAAAAAAACUCCAUAAAAUAUAAACAUAACUUUCCUUAUUUGAUAAAAGAAUAAUUGGUGGGUGUUUAUCAUCAUGUGUUUUUGCUCAAAAUUAUUGCUCCCCCUUUAGUUAUUGGUUUCUGGGCUAAUUUGCAUUUUUCAGUUGUUAAUGUUGACUUCCAUAAUUAAAAGAGCAUAAUGGGAAAUAUCCAAUUGGAGUCGCUGUGUAGCCUACUUUUCAUGAAAAUUAAACUUCACUUUUCAGUGUUCUGUAAGUUAAUUGAAAAAUAAGAAUGUAUGUUCAUCUAGUACAGUCCAACCAGUGUAUUCAAAAAUUGAACAGUCACUAAAGAUAAUAGUCAAAAAGACCAUGUGACAGCAAGGAAAAAAUUAUAAUAUUUAAGAAAUGCAGGAUAUAGAAUUAUAAGUAUUUCUUUACAGAAUUGUAAGCCAGCUAAAAUGCACAUAAAAACCCAGGGAGUAAGACACAACAAUGGUUAUCCUUUGUUAAGAUGGUAAGAUUAAGGGUCCUAUGUUUAUCCACAGUGUUAUACUACAUUUAGAAUCUUAAAUUCAAUAUUGGACUCUUUGAGAGCUUAAAAAAGAGAAACAGAUGGGACAUAAGAUACCAAGAAUCUAAGUAGCUUAUUAGGAAAUGUGAGUAUGAUCAGCUGAGACCAAUAAAGACAUGGGAAGUAAUCUACUUUAUGGAUUCCUAUUUUACAGCUUUUUUAGCUAGAAAGGUGUUACCAAUUAGAAGUCAGACUGCUCAAAAAUACCCAAAGAUCAGCUUUUGAAUAACCAAACUGAUCAUCAACAUGCUUAGUUAAGUGCCAGUUGUCCUACUGACAACUAUCCAAUGUCAUUAUUCCAAAAAGACAUCUUAGAGUCAGCUGUUCCACUGGUUAGGGUGGGAGGACUACACCAUUAUUCGCAAUGGAAACGUUUGGAAGGUACCUUUGGCCUUACACCCAAAAACCCGCUGCAGUUUGGGGCUCCACACUUGCAAACAGUCUUUCCAUUCCCAAGACAUUCUAGGUUGUAGUUGAAGGUAAGUUCAGUGCCUGCAUAAAAGACCAUGAAAAUAUUACUAUCUAUGGCUUUAAUUACAUUAUUUCUGUAUUAAUCACAAAGGUUAUGGACUUGCAGAACAGAUUUUUCAGAGGCUAGAAAGGGGUUUAUUAACUCUAAUCCAGCUAUAUUAAUGAAAUAUUAAUAAAAUCUAAUCUUGUAAUGUUAUUAAUCAGCAAGUACAACUUAAUAGCAGAAAAACUUACACAGCUUAACAAGUGAUAUUUAAAAUAACCUUUACUGUAGAGAUUCUGAUUAUCCCAAGUUGUUUUCUAACCUUUCAGAAUCAAAAUAUAUUAAUUCAUUACCAAAAGCAAACAAACAAACAAAAACACUGAUGUGCUAGGCAUUGGGAAUAAAAGUAUGAAGAAAAGCUGUUGGUCUGUGCCAAACCUAGCACAACUUAGGGAGAGACAUCUCAAUACAGAAUAAUACUAGAGAACUCUACACCACAGAUCAGACACAGGCCCCAGCUUUAUAUCCCUACUACCACAAUCUAGCUGGGUGAUUUGAGCCCUGAGAGUACAUUUAUUAAAUGGAGAGACAAUCUCAAGCUUAUUUAGAGUACUGACAUAAUGCACAUAGCACUAACUUGUAAACUUUUAAAAAAGAUGUACAGAUUUAAGGGACAAAUUGUCCCUUUCUGUCAAAAGUCAAUCUUAUCAAAACUGAGAGCAAAUAAAACACACAAAUAUUCAAAUUCAAACCAUGUUAGGGAAGGCCUAACAAAUAUAAGAAUUUUUAAUAUAUGUAUACAAAGAGAUUAACUCUGCACUGGGGUAACGGUUCACUGUUAAUUUUUUAAUAUUUUAUUUAUUCAUGAGAAACACAGAGAGAGAGGGAGAGAGGAAUAGACACAGGCAGAGGAAGAAGCAGGCUCC